rnacentral:rRNA from 1 species
GUACACUCCUACGGGAGGCAGCAGUGGGGAAUUUUGGACAAUGGGCGAAAGCCUGAUCCAGCAAUGCCGCGUGAGUGAAGAAGGCCUUCGGGUUGUAAAGCUCUUUUGUCAGGGAAGAAACGGUGAAAGCUAAUAUCUUUUGCUAAUGACGGUACCUGAAGAAUAAGCACCGGCUAACUACGUGCCAGCAGCCGCGGUAAUACGUAGGGUGCAAGCGUUAAUCGGAAUUACUGGGCGUAAAGCGUGCGCAGGCGGUUUUGUAAGUCUGAUGUGAAAUCCCCGGGCUCAACCUGGGAAUUGCAUGGGAGACUGCAAGGCUAGAAUCUGGCAGAGGGGGGUAGAAUUCCACGUGUAGCAGUGAAAUGCGUAGAUAUGUGGAGGAACACCGAUGGCGAAGGCAGCCCCCUGGGUCAAGAUUGACGCUCAUGCACGAAAGCGUGGGGAGCAAACAGGAUUAGAUACCCCAGUAGUCCCAUG